rnacentral:misc_RNA from 1 species
GCUCCGUCACUCUUUUUUAUCGCUUCGCUCGCAUCUCAUCUUCUUCAUCAAAAUAAUCCGUCGAAUUAUUUCACUAUUGCGUUCCGUUUGGAUGGACUUGUUUCGGGAAAAGUGGAGGAAAGAAUACGUAUUCGUGGCGAUUUCGUCAACGUCGAAAACGCUCGUUUUUAUUGGACGUCAAAAUUCAAUGCUCGAAUCCAUGAAAUUUUGCUUCAUUUUCAUGAAAUUACGACUUUGUUCGAGUUCUCGUCCAUUCGGUAUUCGGUGGUAGAGUCAUUUUUUAAGGGGCGCUUUUUUUCCGCGUGGGAAAAGCGUUUUUCACAGUUCGCUUGAUCCGCGUUCCUCUUCAUCUGGCAAAACAAUUACCGCCAGCUCGGCUUCUCUUCGCUCUUCAAAAUCGUCCAUCAGGAUCACGGAUCGGUUCGACUUUCCCGCAUUCCAACGCCCCGCCAGUCGUGCCAAGUGCUGCGCGCCCCGCUCUAUCCGCCAAACUCAGUGCACAAGUGUUUUUCCGUGCUUUUCCUUUGCGCAGUCUUAUCCCCCCGUCCUCUGGAACACGAGAAUCGACGGUCGGAAACGGAUCCGUCGAACAGGGUCGACCGGAAGUGGAGAAACGGACUUUCCGAGCCCACGUGCGUCGAAGCUCCGACCUCACUCCGCGAACUUGUCGGGCAACUGGGAAGAGGCACAUCCGGUAAGCACGAAAACUUCGGUCCUGGAAUCCACGGCUGCAUCUGCAGCCUGUCGACAUACCGAUCUUGGAGGUAAGAAGAAAUCUGUCGCGACCGUACCGGCCGGUGAUAAGUUUCCCGAGCGUGGCUCCGAUCGACAAAGCGGAUUUCUAGUCGUCGGUGACACCAGAGGACAUCGGCAACGAAGAUCUUCGCCUGAUCUUUCGUCGAUGGGCACAGAGGGAAUCUUCCGAGACCAACUUGUUCGUCUUCUUCGAGGAUAUUUUAACGAAAGUCAAUAAAAUGAGCUGCGCCUAAUGAAUGCUGGGUCGACGAUAAGUCCUCUGAUAUUUUCCAGGUUCGGAAGCGACAUUCUAUUAAUCCUGCGAUAAUUAAAUUUAACGAUUCUCGUGUUAAAUAAACGUUCGGGCUUAUCGGCGGUCGCGCGAUUGCUGGCGUUAAUUAGAUGAAGAUAAAUUCUCGAUUCCGGGAAUACAUACGGGGUCCGAGAGGGCUUCGCAUGGAGCGUAGAUAGAGUUGGUAUCUCGGGAUGAGAUUGCUUUUAUAAGGCAGCGAGUUUAAAAGUGGUGAUUUGGAGCCAGCACGGAGAUGACAGUGACUGUCAUUCAGUCGCGAGUUUCUUUAUCCCUCUUUCGUGCUCUUUCCCUUUUCGUGCGUUCGUAGAUAUCCGCGAGGUAUAUUCGCCCGGAAUUGAGCGCGAUGGAAAUAUCUCGGGAAGCCUCCGGCCGCGGGUGCGAUCUUCGAUGGGGAGACGAAACGGAGAGAAAGAGUUUAUGGAAGGAAAUGGUGCUCCGAACGGAUCACCAUAAGGUCAUAAGUCACUCCGUAUCUUUAUCGCGGCCCCCAUGUAUUGCCGCCAGGCCUUGCCAUCGCUCUAUCUUCGCCUCACAUACGCGCACGAUAACGCACGUGCAAAAUAUCGUUUUAUACGACCCUCUCGCGCGUCUCGUUAACCGAUUCCUAAUUCAAGGGUCGCUUCGAUAUUUUAAUCGUUUUUUUUUACAUCAUUUCCUUUCUUCUUGGAUUUUAUUGUCCUCGCGAUUCGUUCGAAGCGAAACGAAAUUCUGCGCUCAAAGUCGAUUGAAAUUUUCACUUGACAAGCCACUCGACAGCUUCUGUUAAGGUAGCUUGUGCACGAAACGAUUUUCUUAAGAAAGUCUUGACAUUUACGCAGAGUUUGAACGAGUGAACGACUGACACGCGUAUCAAAUUUUAAAGACUUCGUCUUAUUGGUUAUUUAGAUAAACGAGCGCAAAAAGUCGUUUAUCUUUCCAUCUAACGAAUGAACGCUUCUCACGAAGUUUAUAAAAAAACGUGCACAAUGACCAAUGACAAUGAAGUAUAUGAUGAAGGUUUGGAAAAAAAUUCGAGACGAUUGUAUUAUUAGUAAUAAAAAUAUAUUACCUUACUCGCAA